rnacentral:rRNA from 1 species
UACGGGGGGGGCAAGCGUUGUUCGGAAUUACUGGGCGUAAAGGGCUCGUAGGCGGCCAACUAAGUCAGACGUGAAAUCCCUCAGCUUAACUGGGGAACUGCGUCUGAUACUGGAUGGCUUGGAUUUGGGAGAGGGAUGCGGAAUUCCAGGUGUAGCGGUGAAAUGCGUAGAUAUCUGGAGGAACACCGGUGGCGAAGGCGGCAUCCUGGACCAAUAUUGACGCUGAGGAGCGAAAGCCAGGGGAGCAAAGCGGG